GACGAACGCUGGCGGCGUGCUUAACACAUGCAAGUCGAACGGAAAGGCCCUGCUUUUGUGGGGUGCUCGAGUGGCGAACGGGUGAGUAACACGUGAGUAACCUGCCCUUGACUUUGGGAUAACUUCAGGAAACUGGGGCUAAUACCGGAUAGGAGCUCCAGCUGCAUGGUGGGGGUUGGAAAGUUUCGGCGGUUGGGGAUGGACUCGCGGCUUAUCAGCUUGUUGGUGGGGUAGUGGCUUACCAAGGCUUUGACGGGUAGCCGGCCUGAGAGGGUGACCGGCCACAUUGGGACUGAGAUACGGCCCAGACUCCUACGGGAGGCAGCAGUGGGGAAUAUUGCACAAUGGGCGGAAGCCUGAUGCAGCAACGCCGCGUGCGGGAUGACGGCCUUCGGGUUGUAAACCGCUUUCGCCUGUGACGAAGCGUGAGUGACGGUAAUGGGUAAAGAAGCACCGGCUAACUACGUGCCAGCAGCCGCGGUGAUACGUAGGGUGCGAGCGUUGUCCGGAUUUAUUGGGCGUAAAGGGCUCGUAGGUGGUUGAUCGCGUCGGAAGUGUAAUCUUGGGGCUUAACCCUGAGCGUGCUUUCGAUACGGGUUGACUUGAGGAAGGUAGGGGAGAAUGGAAUUCCUGGUGGAGCGGUGGAAUGCGCAGACAUCAGGAGGAACACCAGUGGCGAAGGCGGUUCUCUGGGCCUUUCCUGACGCUGAGGAGCGAAAGCGUGGGGAGCGAACAGGCUUAGAUACCCUGGUAGUCCACGCUGUAAACGGUGGGUACUAGGUGUGGGGUCCAUUCCACGGGUUCCGUGCCGUAGCUAACGCUUUAAGUACCCCGCCUGGGGAGUACGGCCGCAAGGCUAAAACUCAAAGGAAUUGACGGGGCCCCGCACAAGCGGCGGAGCAUGCGGAUUAAUUCGAUGCAACGCGUAGAGCCUUACCUGGGUUUGACAUGGAUCGGGAGCGCUCAGAGAUGGGUGUGCCUCUUUUGGGGUCGGUUCACAGGUGGUGCAUGGCUGUCGUCAGCUCGUGUCGUGAGAUGUUGGGUUAAGUCCCGCAACGAGCGCAACCCUUGUUCACUGUUGCCAGCACGUUAUGGUGGGGACUCAGUGGAGACCGCCGGGGUCAGCUCGGAGGAAGGUGGGGAUGACGUCAAGUCAUCAUGCCCCUUAUGUCCAGGGCUUCACGCAUGCUACAAUGGCUGGUACAGAGAGUGGCGAGCCUGUGAGGGUGAGCGAAUCUCGGAAAGCCGGUCUCAGUUCGGAUUGGGGUCUGCAACUCGACCUCAUGAAGUCGGAGUCGCUAGUAAUCGCAGAUCAGCAACGCCGCGGUGAAUACGUUCCCGGGGCU
rnacentral:rRNA from 1 species